rnacentral:tRNA from 1 species
GCUGUGAUGGCCGAGAGGUUAUCGUUGGGCUCGAAGCCCAAUGGGGUUUCCCCACGCAGGUUCGAACCCUGCUCGCAGUG